rnacentral:rRNA from 1 species
UACGUAGGGGGCAAGCGUUGUCCGGAUUUAUUGGGCGUAAAGAGCGUGUAGGCGGCCAGAUAGGUCCGUUGUGAAAACUCGAGGCUCAACCUCGAGACGCCGAUGGAAACCAUUUGGCUAGAGUCCGGAAGAGGAGAGUGGAAUUCCCGGUGUAGCGGUGAAAUGCGCAGAUAUCGGGAAGAACACCCGUGGCUAAGGCGGCUCUCUGGAACGGUACUGACGCUGAGACGCGAAAGCGUGGGGAGCGAACAGG